GGGUGCGUAACACGUAUGCAAUCUACCCGCAACAGGAGGAUAGCUCCCCGAAAGGGGAAUUAAUACUCCAUAAUAUCACGAGAGGGCAUCUGAUUGUGAUUAAACUCCAAGGGGUUGCGGAUGAGCAUGCGUCUGAUUAGUUAGUUGGUGAGGUAACGGCUCACCAAGACGAUGAUCAGUAGGGGAACUGAGAGGUUGAUCCCCCACACUGGCACUGAGAUACGGGCCAGACUCCUACGGGAGGCAGCAGUAGGGAAUAUUGGUCAAUGGGUGAGAGCCUGAACCAGCCAUGCCGCGUGCAGGAAGACGGCCUUCUGGGUUGUAAACUGCUUUUUUCUGGGGAUAAAAUACCCGUGCGCGGGGAAUUGAAGGUACCA
rnacentral:rRNA from 1 species